GUCUACUCUAUAGUUUUCUUUUUGACAAUAUUUCCAGAAAUCACGUUGUGGCCUAUGCUAUGAUAUACAUUAUUGACUGUUUUACAGGUUUUUAGAAGUUGGGUGAAUUAACAUCUCUAAAGUCUCUAAAUCUAUCUGGUAAUUUAUUGGAGGGAACUAUUCAUAUUAAUGAUCUUAAAGGUUUGAAUAACUUGGAGCAGCUUGAUAUUAGCAUGAAUCAGUUUGAUAGUUUCAUAACUCACUUAGGUUUUGAAAGACUAUCUGUGUUAGGCAAGCUGGAGGUACUUGGUUUGGGAAACAAUUUUUUCAAUAAUAGCAUCCUACAAUCUCUUGGUGUCCUCUCAUCACUCAAGACUUCAUCCUUACGGUACACCCGUUUGAAUGGAUUAAUUGACAUAGGAGGUAAGUCUAGUAUAAAAUAUUUCCCCUAUUCACAACUAAAACAACUAACCAGCAUCAAUAUGGACGAUCUUUGCAGCAUCAAUGUGAGUUUUAUGGGCCGUU